rnacentral:rRNA from 1 species
GAGAAUGCCGGUGUGAGUAGCGAAAGACGGGUGAGAAUCCCGUCCACCGAUUGACUAAGGUUUCCAGAGGAAGGCUCGUCCGCUCUGGGUUAGUCGGGUCCUAAGCUGAGGCCGACAGGCGUAGGCGAUGGAUAACAGGUUGAUAUUCCUGUACCACCUAUAAUCGUUUUAAUCGAUGGGGGGACGCAGUAGGAUAGGCGAAGCGUGCGAUUGGAUUGCACGUCUAAGCAGUAAGGCUGAGUAUUAGGCAAAUCCGGUACUCGUUAAGGCUGAGCUGUGAUGGGGAGAAGACAUUGUGUCUUCGAGUCGUUGAUUUCACACUGCCGAGAAAAGCCUCUAGAUAGAAAAUAGGUGCCCGUACCGCAAACCGACACAGGUAGUCAAGAUGAGAAUUCUAAGGUGAGCGAGCGAACUCUCGUUAAGGAACUCGGCAAAAUGACCCCGUAACUUCGGGAGAAGGGGUGCUCUUUAGGGUUAACGCCCAGAAGAGCCGCAGUGAAUAGGCCCAAGCGACUGUUUAUCAAAAACACAGGUCUCUGCUAAACCGUAAGGUGAUGUAUAGGGGCUGACGCCUGCCCGGUGCUGGAAGGUUAAGAGGAGUGGUUAGCUUCUGCGAAGCUACGAAUCGAAGCCCCAGUAAACGGCGGCCGUAACUAUAACGGUCCUAAGGUAGCGAAAUUCCUUGUCGGGUAAGUUCCGACCCGCACGAAAGGCGUAACGAUUUGGGCACUGUCUCAACGAGAGACUCGGUGAAAUCAUAGUACCUGUGAAGAUGCAGGUUACCCGCGACAGGACGGAAAGACCCCGUGGAGCUUUACUGUAGCCUGAUAUUGAAAUUCGGCACAG